CGUCUAUAUACGUAUAGCAUAUCAAUAAGCGGAGGAAAAGAAACUAACUAGGAUUCCCUCAGUAACGGCGAGUGAAGCGGGAAGAGCUCAAAUUUGAAAUCUUCAAGGUUCUACCUUGACGAAUUGUAGUUUAAAGAAGUGUUUUCUGUUGAAGUUUUGGUAAAAGUUCUUUGGAAUAGGACAUCAUAGAGGGUGAGAAUCCCGUAUUUGACCAGUUAUUUCCAGCUGCUGUGAUACACUUUCAAAGAGUCGGAUUGUUUGGGAAUGCAGUCCAAAAUGGGUGGUAAAUUUCAUCUAAAGCUAAAUAUUGGCGAGAGACCGAUAGCGAACAAGUACCGUGAGGGAAAGAUGAAAAGAACUUUGAAAAGAGAGUUAAACAGUACGUGAAAUUGUCAAAAGGGAAGCGUUUGACACCAGUGUUGUUUUCUCGAAAAUCAAUUAAAAAAAGGCCGGAUUUUGUGUUGUAUUGACUUUAUCAGCUUUCUGCACUCUUUUCUUGUCUUUUUUAAUGCACUUUUCGUUUAACAAGUCAACAUCAAUUUCUUUUGUUGUAAAAGGGUCAUUGGAAGGUGGCUUUCUUUUCGGAGAAAGUGUUUAUAGCCUUUGGCCUCUGCAAUCGGAGAGAUUGAGGUCUGCAGCGUAGAUCCUUCGGGGUUAGAUACAUUUGUGCUAAGUUAUAGCCUUUCAUAGACAACUUGUUGACUAUGAUCAGUCAUGUAGCUUACUCACUUAUGCUAUUUUACCUACCUUAGGAUGUUGAAGUCAUCGUAUCGCGC
rnacentral:rRNA from 1 species